rnacentral:rRNA from 1 species
AGUGAACGCUGGCGGUAGGCCUAACACAUGCAAGUCGAACGGCAGCACAGUAAGAGCUUGCUCUUACGGGUGGCGAGUGGCGGACGGGUGAGGAAUACAUCGGAAUCUACUUUUUCGUGGGGGAUAACGUAGGGAAACUUACGCUAAUACCGCAUACGACCUACGGGUGAAAGCAGGGGAUCUUCGGACCUUUCGCGAUUGAAUGAGCCGAUGUCGGAUUAGCUAGUUGGCGGGGUAAAGGCCCACCAAGGCGACGAUGCGUAGCUGGUCUGAGAGGAUGAUCGGCCACACUGGAACUGAGACACGGUCCAGACUCCUACGGGAGGCAGCAGUAGGGAAUAUUUGGCAAUGGGCGGAAGCCUGACGCAGCCAAGCCGCGUGGGUGAAGAAGGGCUUCGGGUUUUAAAACCCUUUUUUUAGGGAAGAAAAGACGUGGGAUUAAUUCCGCACUGUUUGACGGUACCCAAAGAAAAAGCCACGGCUAACUUCGUG